GACGAACGCUGGCGGCGUGCUUAACACAUGCAAGUCGAACGGAAAGGCCCUGCUUUUGUGGGGUGCUCGAGUGGCGAACGGGUGAGUAACCCGUGAGUAACCUGCCCUUGUCUUUGGGAUAACUUCAGGAAACUGGGGCUAAUACCGGAUAGGAGCUCCUGCUGCAUGGUGGGGGUUGGAAAGUUUCGGCGGUUGGGGAUGGACUCGCGGCUGAUCAGCUUGUUGGUGGGGUAGUGGCUUACCAAGGCUUUGACGGGUAGCCGGCCUGAGAGAGUGACCGGCAACAUUGGGACUGAGAUACGGCCCAGACUCGUACGGGAGGCAGCAGUGGAGAAUAUUGCACAAUGGGCGGAAGCCUGAUGCAGCAACGCCGCGUGCGGGAUGACGGCCUUCGGGUUGUAAACCGCUUUCGCCUGUGACGAAGCGUGAGUGACGGUAAUGGGUAAAGAAGCACCGGCUAACUACGUG
rnacentral:rRNA from 1 species